GUGAUCGUCGAAUCUGUUGACCUGGCGCCACCGGAAAAAGAAAUUCCCGGGCCCUGGCUUCUUGGCCUGAUGGUGAGGCACCAGAGGUGAAGCGAGGCAUGGGCUGCUGGAGCGGGAAUGAGGGGGCGACAGUGGCUCCGGAAACGGGGGGAGGGUGUCUUCACUGGCCUCUCCGCAAACACAGUGUGUGCGGGUGUGAGGGCUGCAGGUCUGGUAGAGAAGAGUCCACCGCCAUCCCGCUCCUGAGACGGGGGCAGGAGUGGGGGGCAGGAGUGGGGGGGCGGGUAAGACAGAGCAGGCCGGCCGGCUUGUGGAGGGCGAGGCAGGCAGAUCCCUUGAGCUCAGGAGUUUGAGACCAGACUGGGCAACAUGGCAAAACCCCAUCUCUACUAAAAAUACAAAAAAUUAGCUGGGCAUGGUGGCACAUGCCUGUAGUCCCAGGUAGUUAGGAGGCUAGGGUGGGAGCACUGCUUGAGCCCAGGAAGUAGAGGCUGCAGUGAGCCGAGAUCAUGAUGUCACUGCACUCCAGCCUGGGCAACAGAGUGGGACCCUGUCUCAAAAAAUAAAAAUAAAGUGGAAGCAUCAGUAUGCAUGAUUGAAGUCAUGCUUUCCAUCUAUUUUUUUCCACCUUCCCUUUUUUCUGUCUAAAACAUUGUAUCUUAAGCUUUUGCCUAUGUUAUCAAGUACUCAUAAGCAUUAUUUGAAUGGUUGUAUCAUAAUCCAUUAUCUGGACUCAUUGUCAUUUAUCCAUCUGCAGUUGCUGGAGAUACUGCCCUUUCUGCCACACUCAGUCACCCUUCUGACCUUGCACUGUGUCCAGUUAUCUACUAAUACCCAUACUGGUCAUUUAGGACUUAAGAAUAGUUAUCAUAGUUUUUAACAUUCCAAAAAGAAUGUGUCUUCCUAAAAAUAGAAUGGCUUGGUGGUUAUACUUUUAAAGCAAAAUAGACAAAGCCAUGUUGAAAUUAAUGUUUUAUUUUCUUCUUGUAUCUAUUUUCACUUCUCUUGUCAUUUUGAUGGAUAAAGUUUCAUUUGGAAGGAUUUUUAUUUCAAAACAGAAAUAGCAUAUGACAUGAGAAGGGGAACUCUGAAAGGUUCAACUUCCUAGUUUACUAAGUUUGUCACAAAAGCUACUGAUAGUCAAUCAUGAUUGGCCUGUAUUGAAAGUGAGUUAACAUUAUGUACAACUUAAGCACUAUACUUUCUAUCCGAUACAGAAAAAUAGGUGGUGUGUUUGGAAAAGUAUUGGGCUAGGAGUCAGGAAGCUUGAUUGUUAGUCUCAACCCUGCUUCUUGAGCUGAGCACCCCUAGGCAAUAAUUCAGCAGCUAUUUCUUAAAUACCUAAAUGAAUUUCAGGCUUUGUGGUUGGGCUGGGAAUAUAGACAUAGAUACUGCAUUCAUGAUUCUCCAAGCCUCCCUUCUUCACCCCGGCUCACAGUGAGCUUUCUUAUGCAUUGUGUAAAUUUGUCUCCUAACAGGCCCCAACUCUGUCUCCAACCUCCUUCCCAGGGCAGUUGUGAGGAUCAGAUGAGGGAGAAUAUGUGUGAAAGCAAAUUGUAAAUUAUUUUAAAAUGCAAUAAAAAUAUGAUCCAUGGAAAAUUAUUUAAAGAUCCUUAUUAAAAUUAUUAAAGAUCCUUAGAAUUUUAAAUAAACAGUACAUUAGGCCGGGCAUUGUGGCUUAGGAGAGCGCUGGGUCAAAUCAGUCCCCUCCAGCUACGCAUUGCCUGGAGCUGCUCUCCAAGGACCCCUCAGCCACAGAAGGCGCUGGUCCUCCUACAGUGCUGCCCCACCCCCACCACCACAGCCUCCUGGGGGUGCAGUCAGGGGUGCCCUCCUUCAGGCUCUGCCCCUGCACCCACUCCUACACAACUACUCUCCCUGCCGGCAGCCCCAGAGACCAGAUUGGUUUGGGCCUCUGCCUCCGCAGGCCCGAACCACCAUCUCUUCUGCUCCCCAGAAAGCCAGCUCCCAGCACACAGGCAGCGUUCCCUCUUCAUUCCUCAACACAGAGGGCCCCUCACAACCCUCUCAGCAGAUGGUAGAGCUCCCCACGCAUCCUCUUAAAGAGGCUUCACCGUUGAUGGCCACAAGCCCCACCAUGACCUCCUCCCAGGGAGUGAAUUUUCUUACAUGUCUCCCACCAGAGCAGGGACAAAAUAAAACAUAAAAGCAGCAGCUGUUAAAUUAUCAGCAACAUUUCCUACUAGGAUCAACUCACGGAGUGGGCAGUGUAUUCCAUUAGGUGGAUCAGUGCAGGGGUUAGCAAGCGUUUUCUGUAAAGGGCCGGAUGGGAACUCUUUAAGGCUCUGCAGGCCACUGGGUCUCUGUCACCACCUACUCAAACCCUCCCCUGUAGCAAGAAAGCAGCCCUAGCAACAUGUCAACAGAUAAGCGUGGCCACAUUCCCAGAAACCUUUCUUUAUGGACAUGGAAGUUUGCAUCUCACGUAAUUCUCAUGUGUCACAAGAUACGACUCUACUUUCCAUGUUUUCAACCAUUUAAACAUGUAAAAGCCAUUCUUAGCGCGUGGGCCACACAAAAGCAGGCAGCAAGAAAUUUGGCCUUUACACCAACAGCAGCUGACCCCUGGAUGGAGCAUUAGAGCUUGGGUGUGUGUCCCACUCCAGGGCUUCCAGGAGAGGGGAUGCAGGCCGAUGCCACCUCCACCCCUGUCGCUCUAGGGGAGAAGGCAGAGCUGGUGCUGUAUGAAGUUUGGCUGCAGAUCCUGGGCCAGCCCUACACCAAGGCCUUGGAGGACAAAACCAGCCUUGAGUUCUGGGCACUUCAGGGGCAACCGACAAGAUGGGUGAAGUGGCGGGAUGAAGUGGGGGGGCGGGGAAGAAGCCUCGGGAAGAUGGGGGAUGACUGGACAAGACUUUGGUAGAGCUGUGACCCUCUUCAUCCUCUCCUGACCCCCCAGCUGACCCUCGUCCUCAGAUCUCUGCAGAACUUUGACCAGUGGUGGUGGAGGAAUUCCGGUGGGUCCAGGGUGGCCCUGGGUGACCCAGGGCUCAGACCUGGGUUCUGGGGUUGAAGGCAGGAGGCUGGAAGAGAUGACCUCCCUUAGGCCCCCCAGGCUGCCCAGCCCCCUGAAGUGGGAUGAUCCUCCCACCAGGCUGGACCCACUGACCGUCAGAGUGGGUGCCACCUUCUUCAGGGCGGCAUCAGCCCAGGCUCUCGUGUGGGUCUGCACACCCUGGGGGAGGCAGAGGGCCUCUUGGUAGACACGGUCAUCUCAGACCUCGGUCAGUACCUCCUUCCCUCUGCAGGCCCCCUCCCUCUGUCCAUCUGCCUCCUCCCUUGGGCUUGCUGCCUCUACAUGCCCUGAUCUGAAACCUGCCUCCCCUCCUCAUGGAGCCCUCCAAGAUGCUCCUAGCCCCAGCUCUCUGGUCCCGCAGCAACUUCUGGUGCCAGAUUCUGCCUUCUCAGAAGUCUGGGAGGCAGGGCCCCACCUGGCCAUAGCCUUCUUGGUCUGCUCUAGGCACUGCUAGCCUUGAAGCCUCCAGCCUGCUGGAUGCCUCCAUCCCCGGCUAUGCUGUGGCUCUCCUCAUUCUAGGCCUCCUGCUCGUCACAUUCACCCUUGUCCUGGUGAGUGUCUGGCUGGGCCCAGGCUCCUUCCUGAGGGGCAGGCUGAGCCUUUGAUGCCUUGAGCCUUGAGCCAAGCUGAGGAGUGAGCAGGCCCCUUUACACCCCUGAUUCCCCCACCCAAGCCCAGCAUCUCCUCAUCCUCCAGCUGGGGCUGCAGGGUUUGGGGCCAGGGGGCUGGGCCUGAUCCCAGUGUCCCCACCCUUCUUGUCAAGGUGCUAAAGUGGAGGGCCUCCCAUGGGGUGUUCAGCCUGGGUGUGUAGAAGCACACAGUGUGGUACAGAGGACCCUCUCCAGACAGGUAAGUGGAGGGCGGUUCUCCCUGACCCCACCCCAAUUGUUUGUUCUGGGUGGGGUCCACCGCGCCCCCUGCCAAGGCCUUCUGCAAACACUCCCCAGGGGCUGUUGUGGGCAGCACCUGGGUGGUGCAGUUGGUGUGCCAGAAAAGCUC
rnacentral:lncRNA from 10 species